UGACAUGCAGGGGGGCAUUGCUAAAACUGCACCAGGGUGAACUGGGGUGAAGCACCAUGGAAGAGAACCAUAAGUGCCACAUCUCAGGCGUGUGAGAGGUGCUGGGGCAGGAGUAAUGGCCCUGGACCAGUAGCUAGGAUCCAGGCUCAGCAUAUCCCAGCCAUGAAGGUGCUGGGCCUCGGAAGGGAGGAAGCGCAUGACUCAGCAGCACAGCCGAGAGCUGAGUCAGCAGGGCCAGCAGAGGCUAGAAGAGGAGAUGUGGACAUGGAUACCUGGGGGCUGGAUCAAAGGGAAAUUCAGG
rnacentral:lncRNA from 1 species